rnacentral:lncRNA from 1 species
GGAGCCAAGUCGGGAAACUAAGGACCUUCACAGUGUGUGUGUGAACGGAGUUUUAACUCAAGAUCUGGCUCCCACUACAAUCACACAGUACAGGCUCAUUUCAUAUCCCAGUAUCAAUACUUUCUCAAAGCCUGUGGCUUCUCAGAAGACCAGAGUGAUGAUAUCCAUGGAGGCUGUAACGCUAACUGCACACUGUGAGGCUGUUGUAACAACCCUUCCAAACUCAGAGAUGACUAUAAAUAAGGAACUACUGUUCUCGGCACUUAUGCCCAUCACAGCAGAGCCACAAUCAUGA